AAGAGUAAUUUUUAAAGUCUUCCAUUGAAAGUUCCAUAUAUUUUAAACACAAAAAGAAAUAGCCUAGCAUACAAACAUUCUAGGGAUUCCCAAAUAAUUUCUCUAAUAGCAGAGAUCUCUGAUGUGCAAGUGGCCAGCGUGUUCCCAAAAUAUAAGCACUUCUAAUCUUGGCAAACUUGUCCUUGAGAUGCCAAUGUUGACUGGUGACUAUCCACAGGCAGGGCUAGAAAAGGGAGUGGAACAUUUUACUUAGGCAGGAAGCACUGAAGAGAAGAAUCUUUUUUUCAGUAGACAUUUGUGGGAAAUAAAAAUUUGUUUAGAAGAAUUUAGGCCAAGAGAUAAAAUGGUCUUCUUUUGACUGAGGAGAGAUAAGAUAGAUUUUAAGCAGACAUCUGAAGUUAAAGGUGAGAGAAGGAAGAUAAACUGGGUGAUUUUGCUCACCUAAGAAGGUACACAGAUCCAAAGAAAAAGAGAUUCGAGAGGUGUCUCCAGCUUCUGAUUUUGAUGACAUCUCCCAGAGAGGACCGUGUUGCCAUCACCAUCCCAGAGUCUGAAAGUGUCCAGGAGUUGUGUUUUCCUGAUUCUUCAUGGUCCAUGUAGAUGUGUUGAUGUCUGUGCAACUGAAGGAACAAUCACCUCUUCCAGUAUUUAUAGACUGCUUUUUGCAGGUCUGCAGGCCUGCCUCUGUGAGUACAGAUGGGUUUGUCUCCAGUGUGUGGGUACACCUGCCUGUGGACUGAGCUGAUCAGGGUUGAAGCUAGGUCACAGAGAUGCUUCAGGAGUUGAAGUUGGAACUGCAGUCAGCCAGCCUGUUACCCAAGAGACAAGCAGAAUACAUUAUCUUUUGUUUUAUGCUGAAGUAGAGUGCAGCAAGCAAAAAGCAGCAAAAGACACAUAAUCAAAGUACUUGGAAUGCUGACUGUAAAAUUAUGCUGAGAACUGGCUGCAUGAUAAGAUGCUUUUCCUUCCUCUUUGUUAUUUGUAUUAUUUUGUAAAGAUAGGCCAGUGUGAGUAUGUCCAAAUAAGCUAAUAAUCUAUUUCCCUUAAAAUUUCAGCAAAUAUUCAAGAGAAUAAAAAUGUAAGUUAUUGUCCACACAGCUAAUGUUAAUUUUUCAUUAACAUAAUUUAAGUCUCGGUGAUAGUUUGAAAAUGUUCAUAAUGUUCAUUAUCUAAUAAAAUAGAUAAUUGUGGAAUUAUCUAACUCGUAGAAGAUUAAUUGUGGAAGAGUUGUUUGUAUAUUUGUAACUGUCUCGUUUUUAGUAAAACCAAUUUUUUUUUCUGAGUUAAAAUAUUAAACAAUGAAAAAGUAAACUCAAUAAAUGUAAUUCAGUGCCUUGCAUAAUAGAAAAAUGUUAACAAGGUAAAAGCUGUUAAAAUUGGGAUGGUUUCAAAUUUUAAUGUGAAAAUUUCUGUGAUAAUUUAAUCUGCUAAUAUAAUGUUUAACUCUAGAUCUCUUUCUUGUGACAUGGCUCGAUGCAAUUUAGGUUGCUGUCAUUAAAAUUCUACAAGCACAUCAUACAGGCCUAUCUGCAGUGUACCCAUUUCUGCUCUACCUAUGUACAUACCUAAACCUGAAAACAGGGUUGGAGCUCACUUCUUAUGUUCAUCUCCUUGCCCUCCCAUGCUCAUUUGCAGCAUAGUCAGAUGAAGUAUAGUUAACAAACUUAUAGCAAAGACAAAGCCUCGGGCUUCAGUUUGAGCUUUGACUUUACCAUUCAGUAGCUUUGAUACCUGAGCUAAAUUGCUGAUUUUGUUUAAGUCUUGCUUUCCCUUCGCGUAAGAUGAGCUGAAAGUUAUUAGCUUCUUCACAAUGUUAAGAAUUAAAGGGAAAAUAUAAAAAGU